rnacentral:tRNA from 1 species
GGAGAGAUGUCUGAGUGGUUGAAGGUGCCGCUCUCGAAAAGCGGUGGGUGUUCAAAGCGCCCCGAGGGUUCGAAUCCCUCUCUCUCCGCCA